rnacentral:lncRNA from 1 species
AAAAACAAAAACAAAACAAAACAAAAAAAAAGAGUCACACGAACACAUGUUCUGAUCCACCUGAGGCAAAAGGCGCCCCUGUGGAGCCCAGCACGUCUGUGUGGGAGGAACCGCCUGGAGGAGCAGAGAGCAAAGCAAAGGGGCUUGGGGCGGAACACGACGGGAGUGGCAGGAGCAGCCAGCGGGAAGCCAGGGAGAGGGUUUGGAGAUCAGCCAGUCGCGGGCAGGGGUAGGCAAAACCUGUAGGUUCCUGUGGACGCCCUGGAAUUGUGCAGUUACUUCUGAGUGAGGCAUGAAACCAGUGAGUUCUGAGGAGACAACUAACGCUGCAAUUUAAUUUCCAGUUAACCUGUGGAGCUUCAGAAGCUCUCACUCACAACUGGGAUAUUAACAAGGUCGGAUCCGGAGGGAAGUCCCUCAGCACAUAGAGCAUGAAGUGUGCACCCCCCCGUGCAGCAAGUCCACGCUCGCUCAGAGAUGGAGGGAAAUAGGUAGGAGGAAGUCCUCACUGGGAACAUUGUAUGGGCUGCAACCUGGCUGCUCAAAACAAGGUUUAUAACUGAAGUGUAGUUUACACAAUGCUGACCUGUUGGAAGUAAUGGAAGAGGUUCAUAUGCACACAUGGAUAAAAUUAAAUGUUUAAGUCUGAGUUUAAAUCUUACAAAAAAUAAAAAAUAAACCAGAUGAGGCCUAAAGAGGAAAAAUUAUUUACUUAAAAAAUGCAGGCCGGGCACGGUGGCUCAAGCCUGUAAUCCCAGCACUUUGGGAGGCCGAGGUGGGCAGAUCACGAGGUCAGGAGAUCGAGACCAUCCUGGCUAACACAGUGAAACCCCGUCUCUACUAAAAAUACAAAAAAUUAGCCGGGCAUGGUGGCGGGCGCCUGUAGUCCCAGCUACUCGGGAGGCUGAGGCAGGAGAAAGGCG